GUACUUUAGUGUACUUCUGAAAAGUACACUUCAUUUCAAGUCCUUUGUAAUACACUAUUAAAAUGCUUUAUCAAAGUAUACUUAAAUUUCCCUUUAUUAGUAGUGUAUUUAAGUAUACUUCCUUACAGUUCACUUUAAUGCAAGUUAAUUUUAAGCUGUAUUUCAGUGCACUUAGAAAAAGUAUACUAAAUUGCAAAAACUUAUAGUUGUCAUUCAGUGUGAUUCUGAAAAGUACACUUAGUAAUACACUAUUAACAUGCUUCAUUUUUAGUAUACUUUAAUUUCACUUCAUUAGAAGUUUAUUUAAGUAUAUUCAUACAUCAUCACAACCAAAGUGUUGAAUUAAUCAAAAAAAUACAGAUAAAUAAUACUGAAAUGGCUACUUUUACUAGCUCCAACGACUAACUAUUAAAGAAAAUCCAAGGCUAUAACCAAAAUUUGAAAAUAGCAAGUUUAUAACGGCCAUCCAAUCAGUGUGCGGCUGCAAAUCGACGUCCAAUGAGAAUGUAGUAUUUAGGUCGCCAAUUGGUGGUUUACUCAAAUACACUUGGCGCGGACGGUUAGUGUUCCAUUUGAAAUUGAGCAGUGAGCACCUAAUAUCUCCGGGUCAAACAAUGACAGUGUUUGGUUUGUUUUAUUUCCAAGACGGCUCCGUUAGAGCAGAUAAUACAUCCGUCAUACGUGAUGCAUACAGAAAUAAAAAAAUAACGGUUAACUGCAGGGAAGACCUCGAGUCGGAGCAGGGCUGGAUAGAGGUAAUUUGGCCUACACAACGGCGACAACAAGAGGCGAAGCCUAUUGCAGCCAAAUUGCUUUUCUUUGGAGACACGGUGAGGGAGAAAUUCCCCAACACCAUGGUUAGUGAGAUCCGGGCCCUGCUGCGGAGGAAAUGCAAUAAUGAGGGCUACACCAAGGUUGCUCCUCAGUAGCUUUAUUAUAUAUGUUAUAUAUGUCAGAUGUUUUAAAGUUAGGUGUUAUUGAAUGUAUGUUUGUAUUAAUAUUUAAAUUAAAGUUUUGGUUUGUACAAUUUAA